CCGGGACCCAGCGCCCCGGGCGGCCCGCCGGCGGACAAACCAAAACUCUUGUUAUCUUAGUUGAUUAUCUGAGCGUCUUAUUUAAUAAGUCAAAACUUUCAACAACGGAUCUCUUGGUUCUGGCAUCGAUGAAGAACGCAGCGAAAUGCGAUAAGUAAUGUGAAUUGCAGAAUUCAGUGAAUCAUCGAAUCUUUGAACGCACAUUGCGCCCAUUAGUAUUCUAGUGGGCAUGCCUGUUCGAGCGUCAUUUCAACCCCUAAGCACAGCUUACUGUUGGGACUCUACGGCCCCCGUAGUUCCCCAAAGCCAUUGGCGGAGUGGCAGUAGUCCUCUGAGCGUAGUAAUUCUUUAUCUCGCUUUUGCUAGGCGCUGCCCCCCCGGCCGUUAAACCCCCAAUUUUUUCUGGUUGACUCGGAUCAGGUAGGAAUACCCGCUGAACU
rnacentral:rRNA from 1 species